rnacentral:rRNA from 1 species
AGCGUAGACGGAUGGACAAGUCUGAUGUGAAAGGCUGGGGCUCAACCCCGGGACUGCAUUGGAAACUGCCCGUCUUGAGUGCCGGAGAGGUAAGCGGAAUUCCUAGUGUAGCGGUGAAAUGCGUAGAUAUUAGGAGGAACACCAGUGGCGAAGGCGACUUACUGGACGGUAACUGACGUUGAGGCUCGAAAGCGUGGGGAGCAAACA